AACUGUCUUUAAUGAAAAAAUGAAGAUCCCAGGUUACCUUGUGUGGGUAACAUCCACUUAUUUUAUUUUUUGCUGCCACCGGGAUGGAAUCUUAGAGCCUCCCCGAGUUACAGGCCCAGCCCUAGAACACACGUUUCUGGACCUCGAAGAGAGGGGCUCGCGGAGUUCUGGCACUGGCUCCAAACUGGAAGCCCUCCUGUCUCGGCCUCCGGAGGCGCGGGAACUGCGGGUGUGCGUCCCCGAUGCGGGUUACCGCUCCCCGGCGUUCCCCCGAGGACCGGCUGCGGCUCCGCCCGGAGGAGGAAGGCUUGGGGCCCAGCGCGGGGCAGGCUGCACUCGGAGGCGCGCUCCGCGAAGCUUCCGGAACUGCGCCGCGGACGCGCCCCCUCUGGGCCCUCCCGCCGCCGGGACCCGCGGGGGCGAGCGUUGCCCCAAAUCUCGCGGUUCUUACAGGCAUCGCGAUGCUCCCGCUCCCGUCUGUUCAGUGUUGCUGGUUCUUAUGACAAAAGUUUAAAAGUCAGUGUUUAGAAGUAGGUUUGCCGACUCACAUAUACCAGGCCGGCUAUCGUAGUUAUGUGUUUCAAAAAAGUAGGGAAGAAAAGGGAUGUGUCAGAAGUGGGAUUCGAACCCACGCCUCCAUACGGAGACCAGAAUCCCCGAGCGCGGGAAGCGAAGCUUGAGUCUGGCGCCUUAGACCACUCGGCCAUCCUGACACUCGAUGAAUUGGUUGAGAUCCUGUUCUAAAGAGGGUUCUAGGACGGCGUCUGCGCGACGCGCGAUGAUGACGUCAGGCCCGCUUGGCAAUCGCGAGCCUGCGGCCACCUGUGAAACGUCGAGCACGUUGCGGCCGCUGAGAAGACUGGCGGAAACUGGAUGCGACCCCAAGGCAGGCAGCCGCGCGGGCGGAAGGAGGAAGGGGCGCCUGGCGGUCGCCCCGUGGCGGCCCCGCCUCCACCAGCCGAGGAGAAGCACCGGACUCAGCGAGCUCGGCCCGCGCCGCCGGGGUCGCCGCCUGCCAGCCCGCGCCCGACGGGGUUUUGCCGUGGUUCGGGAAGAAAGGAGUUUCUUUCUGUUCCUGGCUCGUUCCGGCCCCACCCUGAUUCCUCCUUUACGGCGUGUUACGCUGCGGCUGCCUGAUGUUGCUGUAACGGGCGCCACAUCUGUUUGGGAAUGAGCUGUAAUUCACGUGAGGUUGUUACUGUUGGCCAGCGGCGUUCAUGGUGUACGACGACGGCCCGGGCCGUCCUGUUUUUUUGUGAAAACGUCCACGAGGGCACUGAAAGGCCUGGCCGGGCGCUGAGGCGGUGGAGGCUGCCGCCCGGACACGCGAACUAGCCCACAGCAGCGCCUCGCCACGUUUCACAAGCAGGACCCGAUUCCCGUACGUGAGCCUCCAGCUUGACCGAUGCAGCCUGCGCCAAGGCGCCUCGCACGCAGGCGUGCGCACGCGCACCUUCGGUGGCCGCUGAACCGGACAGGCGCUGUGGAAGCUGCCCGCGCGACUGACUCAGAUGUCUGGGGAAGGAAGCAGGCGCGAAGGAGCCCUGCCCAGCCGGCUCCGUCAGUGGCCCGCAUCCUGACCGAACUCAAAGAUUGCUUUGAGUAAAUGCAGAAUUAUUUAGAGGUUCUUUCAACUCCAUUCAAAAUGGGCUUCUUAAAUUAAAAAUUUAUUAUUUUUUAAACGCGGCAGUAAAGUUUACUUGAAAAAGUAAAAGUGAAAGGUGAGCUAGCGCUGAGUAAGAGAAAAAGGGCCAGAUAAAGUGCACCCAGGACCCCGGGCGGCUCUGCUGAGGAAAGCUAGCCUUAAAUAUUUUAACAGCCGGAAGUCCCCCAUCCCACUCGAAGUAAUCAGUAACACACGCAGACCUCUGCCCUCCUCUCUCUGCUGCACACCCCACAGGGAACCGUGGUCUUUCUGCUAAUGUUGUAACAUGGGUAUCACAAGGAAAACGGUCUGCGGACUUUUCCUGUUGAGCACUGUUAAUCAGAUUUAUUGCUAAAGAUUCGUCCUCAUUCAAACGGAAAGCAGCUUUGCGGGUCUGACAGCCUUGCUGAUCUCAGCUGCAGCUGCGAUGGGUGUGAGGCAGCCCGUGGACAUCCCGGGGUGUCAGGAACCAAAGGUCCCUCCUGAGGGCGCACCUCCUUGCACAGGUGCUGCUGCGAGCAGGACUCCGAUGUCAGGACCGCACUGCCUGUUCUGCCCUCCCGGCAGGGGGCAGAAGCCGCACAUCUGUGGGCAGAACCGAGGGACAGGGUCGUGUGUCCAGCUCAGUUAAGAGUCCUGGCCAGCUGGUUCCUAGCUGUGCACCUGGGAUCAGUCUCCUACCCCGAUGCUUCAAGUCUACAUCUGUAAAAUCAAGGAAAUAGUGCUUCGUGAGGUUAUGAGCCCGAAAUAAGUUACAGUGAGUAAAAAGCUCUUCAUGCUGUGUGCCAAGCAUGGCUUUCUGUCAGCA